UACAGAGAGCUGCAAGCGUUUGAUUCGGAAUUCACUGGGCGUAAAGGGUGCGCAGGCGGCCAAGUGUAGUCAGGUGUGAAAUCCCGAGGCUUAACCUCGGAACUGCGCCUGAAACUACUUGGCUAGAGUACGUGGAGAGGGAUAACGGAAUUCACGGUGUAGCAGUGAAAUGCGAUACGAUAUCGAUGAGGAACACCAGGAGGCGAAGGCGGUUACCUGGACAGUUACAUGACCGCUC
rnacentral:rRNA from 1 species